rnacentral:rRNA from 1 species
UACGUAGGGACCAAGCGUUGUCCGGAAUCAUUGGGCGUAAAGAGCGUGUAGGCGGCUUGUUAAGUCUUGCGUGAAAUUUCGGGGCUCAACCCCGAACUUGCAGUGGGUACGGGCAGACUAGAGUGUGGUAGGGGAGACUGGAAUUCCUGGUGUAGCGGUGAGAUGCGCAGAUAUCAGGAGGAACACCGAUGGCGAAGGCAGGUCUCUGGGCCACUACUGACGCUGAGAAGCGAAAGCAUGGGGAGCGAACAGG